UCGGCGGUGGAGAAACGCGGGCCUGGCGGAGCGCGGCAGCGCGCGGAGACCUCGAGGCCGCGGGGAGCGGCCGGGGCCCCGGAGGCGCGCCCUUCGGCCAGCCCGGGAGCCGUGCCAGGUCGAGACUCCGGCCGGUCGCAAGUCUCCCCGGUCUCAGCGUCGGUCCGUGCGAAGCAAGACCAGCGGACAUGACCGAUCCACCAGGGGCUCCGCCGCCGGCGCUCGCAAGCCGCGGGUGAAGAAGAAAUCACAUCCCCGCAAGGCCAGGAGCGAGGAGAUGGCCCAGAGCAAGGAGGUGGCCCGGAGAGAGGAGAUCGCCAAGAACGAAGAGGUGGCCCCGAAAGAGGAGGCCGCCCGGAGCGCGGAGAUG
rfam:Echinops telfairi cont1.208105, whole genome shotgun sequence.